AACAAAAAGGGUUAAUGACAUAAUUUCCAUGAAAACAUGUGUUCAUUCUUUGUAAACUGUUUAAAUUGUGUUUUCACUUGACCUUAGGAGUGUUAGAGUGUAUUGUAAUGUCUGUACUCAGGUGUUUCCCUCUGUGAUCCAUCCCCUUCAGAGCUGAGACACUCAGGACUGAACAGACUGCACAGUUUCUGUGACUGAGCCUCCAAAACACCUUCUUUGAAACCACUUAUGAUAGAAGGGCUUUAUAUUUGCAGCAGCACUACUACAGUUGGCAGGAAUGUUGCUGCAGGAAAACAUCCCUGGAGAUCACCAUCAUUGUCAGACUGACUGUGCCUCCUCUGUGCAGUGUCAAGAUCCUCCCUAAAUGAGUGUUUCUCAGCUAUCCUGCUUCUGUGCUGCUUGCCACACAUCAAACUCUGGCCGGAUGACAGGGAGGAUCCACUCUGAAGUCACUGGACAUGACGAGGAUCAUAUGGGACUUCAUAGUUUCACAGUAACAUUGUGCUCUGUGAUUACAGGUUUUAAAUGGAUACAAUGACUGCCUCUCUCUGAUCAACAGGCUAAAGGAUUGUUUUCAUUGUUAGUGCUCUGUACAAUGUAUGCUUAUUUAGUAUUUCAUCACAGAGCAAACCUUUAUUUAU